GCCCUGAUGGUGGAACUGGUAGACACGCAAGACUUAAAAUCUUGUUCGCCGCAAGGCGAGUGCGGGUUCAACUCCCGCUUGGGGCA
rnacentral:tRNA from 1 species